rnacentral:rRNA from 1 species
UACGAAGGGGGGCUAGCGUUGCUCGGAAUCACUGGGCGUAAAGCGCACGUAGGCGGCUUUCUAAGUCAGGGGUGAAAUCCCGGAGCUCAACUCCGGAACUGCCUUUGAUACUGGAAAGCUUGAGUCCGGGAGAGGUGAGUGGAACUGCGAGUGUAGAGGUGAAAUUCGUAGAUAUUCGCAAGAACACCGGUGGCGAAGGCGGCGAUCUGGGUGAGAUACGUGACGCUGAGGUGCGAAAGCGUGGGGAGCAAACAGG